rnacentral:rRNA from 1 species
UACGAAGGGGGCUAGCGUUGCUCGGAAUCACUGGGCGUAAAGCGUGCGCAGGCGGUUUUGCAAGUCAGAUGUGAAAUCCCCGGGCUUAACCUGGGAACUGCGUUUGAAACUACAAGGCUAGAGUGUGGCAGAGGGGGGUGGAAUUCCACGUGUAGCAGUGAAAUGCGUAGAGAUGUGGAGGAACACCGAUGGCGAAGGCAGCCCCCUGGGUUAACACUGACGCUCAGGCACGAAAGCGUGGGGAGCAAACAGG